GGUAAGGUGGGGCCAGCAGCGGGGGGAAGACAGAGGGGGCGGGCGUGGUUCGGAAUUAUUGGGCGUAAAGCGCUGGUAGGUGGCUUGUGAAGUCGCGUGUGAAAGCUCCAGGCUCAACCUGGAAAGGGCGCGCGAAACUGGCGGGCUUGAGUGCCGGAGAGGGUCGCGGAAUUCCCGGUGUAGAGGUGAAAUUCGUAGAUAUCGGGAGGAACACCAGAGGCGAAGGCGGCGACCUGGAAGGUGACUGACACUGAGCAGCGAAAGCGUGGGGAGCAAACAGGAUUAGAUACCCCAGUAGUC
rnacentral:rRNA from 1 species